UCUUCCUUCAAAAAAAUUUUUAUAUAUUAAAUACCAGAGAAUUAGUUUGUACAAUAAAACAUCCAAAAAGCGUUCAUUUCUUUUCUUUUAUUUGUUUGGGUUUUUUUUAGUGUUUAUAAUGUUGAGAGAGUAUGUGUGCGAAGAGAGGGGCAGAAAGAGAGGGAGAGAGAGGAUCCCAAGCAGAUUCUGUGCUGUCAGUGCAGAGCCCAACACAGGGCUCAAACUCAGGAACCAUGAGAUCAUGACUGGAGCCAAAAUUGAGUUGGAUGCUCAACGAACUGAGGCACCUAGGCACUCCCAAAAAGUGUUAAUUUCUUAUUUGAAGCCAAAAAUAAAGUUUAAAUAAUCUCCUCCAUAAACACAAUGCCUAAAUUUACUGAUUAAAAGUAAUGCAUAUGGGCAUCUGGGUGGCUCAGUCGGUUAAACUCAUCAGACUCUUGAUUUCAGCUCAGGUCAUGGUCACAGUUUGUGAGUUCAAGCCCCAUGUUGGGCUCUGCACUGACAUCACAGAGCAUGCAUGGGAUUCUCUCUCUCUCAAAAUAAACUUAAAAAAAUGUAAUGCUUCAAAUUUAAGACUUUACAUAACAUUUAAAAUAUUUCAUUAUGGGCGCCUGGAUGGCUCAGUUAUUAAGCAUCUGACUUCAGCUUGGGUCAUGAUCUCAUGGUUCAUGUGUUCAAGUCCCACAUCAGGUGACCUUAAGCCCCACUUCAGGUGAGCAUGAGCCCCGCUUUAGGUAAAAACAGGAGAUUUGCUUCAAUGAGCCCUACUUCUCUCUCUGUCUCUCUCUCUCUGUCUGCCCCUUGCUCAUUUGUGCCUUCCCUCUCCAAAAACAUAAUAAUGAUAAUAUUUCAUUAUGGCUCAAAACAUCAUUUAACAUUCCAUUAUAACUCUAUUAUAACUAGAAUAUGCAUAUCAGGAUUAACUUUUACUAGGAACUAUAGGAAAAUUUUUGCUUAGGAGAAGAUGAAGAACUGUAAUUAAAAGAACAUGACUGGGGGUAAGAUCUAAGUUCUAGUUCUGACUUUGAUACUGUAUGGCCUUUGCCUGGUCACUUAACCCACUAGACAUGAUUUUUUCAUCUCUGUAUAGAGCCAGAGUAUCCGAAAAUUCCUCCUGUCUUUUUUUUGAUGAUAGUCUAAUAAAGUUAAAUAUCACUUAAUACUCAGCUUAAGUGAAUGAAGCCUUUCUAAAAUACAGUCUGGCCAAAUCCCUACAUUUUGAUACAUAUCACUUUUAUUCUAUUUUAUAUUCUGCCAUGAAAGAAAAGGAGUCAAACCAAAAUUGGGCUCCCAAUUCUUUAGAGCAUUUUUAAAAAAUUUUUUUUUUUAAUGUUUAUUUAUUUUUGAGAGAGAGAGAGACAGAGCAUGAACAGGGGAGGGUCAGAGAGGGAGACAAAGAAUCUGAAACAGGCUCCGGGCUCCGAGCUGUCAGCACAGAGCCCGAUGUGGGGCUCGAACCCACGGACCGCAAGAUCAUGACCUGGGCUGAAGUCGGACGCUCAACUGACUGAGCCACCCAGGCACCCCUCUUUAGAGCAUUUUAUCUUAAAUACUUUUUACUCAAGUUUCCCUUGGCUUUUCACAAUUUAUUCCUAGUUCUUUGUAUACUUAUUACACUAAACCCUAAUCUCACUAUAUGAAGUGGUUUAAAAAAUUGCAGUUAUUCCUGAUAUACUUUUCCUGGAGAAGACCUAAAGUCCUAGGUGUGGAGCAGGGGUAGUAGGGAAGGAAAAUGGAGGGGAAGGAUGGGAUCACAGUGGAUGAUGUGAUGUGAGGCUUAAUUUCUUGGUUCAACCAAAGGGAUGAAAGAGAAAAUUUAUUCCUUUAUACUACCCUCCACGUUUUGGUCUCUGAGGGUCCAAACUGACAACUCCUAAAAUACCAGAAACCUAACAAAUUUGUGAUACACCUCAUAUUACAGUGGUUCCCAAGUCAUUCUGGUCAAAUGAACUAAUUAGCUGCAGUGCAGAUGAUCGUGGAACUGGUGUGCUACUCGCUUGGAAACACUCAGACGUAGUAGGAUUUCUAUUCAAUAGUUCUUUCUCUGCACCCUGAGUUAAUCUUUGAAAUCCAUUGAUGAGAAGGUUCAAGGAGCAUCUUCUUUCCUAGAAGGUGAUGUUAAUACAGCUGUUUGGAUAAAACUGCAUGACAUUAUCUGAAUUUAACUGUCCAUGCACUAGUUCCACAAAAGGUAAUGUGCAUGUGAGUAUACUCUACAUCAAUUUGAUGGUGGAUAGAUUCAGUUUAAACACACAGAAAGUCUUUCCAUAUGAUUUUUUUCUCCAUGCAAGUUUUAAAAUACUUAACUAAUAUUUUGUGAGGGAAAACAAUAUUAUAUUGUUUUUAUAAAACACUUACAGACAAAAUACUUAUAGACAAAAUAAGUAUAAAAUACUUAUAGACAAAACUCAUUGGCAUUUGGUCUUAGUAAAAUAUUUUUAAAUUUGUUGUUUUUCAAAUUCAUUUUAAUUAGUUCCAUUACAUAAUCUAUUGUUACAUCUCUCUGAAUUUUUUUCAAAAAUAAAGUGAAUUACAAUAUGCAACACACGCCGCUAAAACAGAACUGCUUCCACUUUAUGUGGCUGUAGUUUUAGGCACACCAUCAAAUUGACUGAUGUUUAACUUUCUCUGUUAGAUAAAAAGGGAUUAACUAAAAUUUCUGUGGUUGUGGAACAUUACUUCAUGGUGCUAUAUACUGUACUUUCUACUAGUAUGUGAUAAUAAAAACUAUCAGGAACUCUGAGGAAAGAAGAAGACAAAUGAUGAAAAAAACCCUGCUUUUUGAAAAUGUUACCUUUCAACAGUCUCAACUAUUAUUAACAGUUCAAGAAAUACAAAGUCUUGGCAGAGUAUUUCAAGCUGAGAGUUGUGUCUCUAACCAUGAAAGCAAAAACAUACUUUUAAGACACUAAGCUAUAAUAUUUGAGAAAGUGAAAAAGUAUGAUCUUGCUUUGUAAAAUAUGUUUGUCCUUUUGUUGUUGCUAUAGAAAUAAGAAUAGAAAUGCUUUUAAUUUUUUAAUUAAAAGACUAUUUGUGAGUCAGAUAAUUUUAGGUGAAUGUUUCAUUAAAGGAAAUGUCCAUUUACCUCUGAUGCUGAUUCAGUUCCCGUAUUGUUUAUGUCCUCAAUCUAUUGAAUGAGAAUUUCAUAUCAUUACAUUACAUUUAAUUUCUGCUUUUUGCUUUUAAACAUACAACUGAAAAGUAAUUUAGUUGUGACUUAUAGUAAAUUUUCAAAUUCAUAAUUUUAAAAAUAUUUUUAUUUUGCUGCAAAUUAGUCCUUUUAGGGGGAGAUUAAACCUUAUAUUCAUUUUUAUAUUUUGACAUCAAAAUCAAUAUAUGGGGAAUUGUAUAUUAAGAAAAAUUAAGAUAAAGCCUAUCUUUGUAAUUCUGUAAUGUGAAUGGACCAAACUGUUAUGACCUGUCUGUAAGCUUACAAGCAGCAAUUAUUAAUUAAAUUAGUAACUUAAACUGA